AAAGGCCUGCCGCGGCUGGGGUGGAAUGCUUGCCUCGUCACCACAACGAUGAAGCAAGCAUUCCGCCAGGCCGCUCACGCUGCCCGC
rfam:Myotis brandtii contig218339, whole genome shotgun sequence.